GACUCUUUGGCGGAGUGGUUAACGCGAUCGCCUGCUAUUACGUAAGCGGUUCCUCAUCGAGGGCGUGUGUUCGAAUCACACAGGAGUCG
rnacentral:tRNA from 1 species